rnacentral:rRNA from 1 species
UGCCACAGCCAUAUCGCCCUGCAGCCCAAGACUGGUUGCCCACUGAAGCUAAACUGGAUUGAGCCUGGUCAGUACCUGGAUGGGAGACCUCCUGGGAAAUCUAGGUUGCCGUUGGAA